UACGUAGGGUGCGAGCGUUAAUCGGAAUUACUGGGCGUAAAGCGUGCGUAGGCGGUUGGCAAAGUCAGCUGUGAAAGCCCCGGGCUUAACCUGGGAAUGGCGGUUGAAACUAGUCGACUCGAAUCUGGCAGAGGGGGGUGGAAUUACACGUGUAGCAGUGAAAUGCGUAGAGAUGUGGAGGAACACCGGUGGCGAAGGCGGCGUUCUGGACUGCAACUGACACUGAGGAACGAAAGCCAGGGGAGCAAACGGG
rnacentral:rRNA from 1 species